CUUACCUGAAACAACAUGGACCAGAUCUGCAGCUGGUGGGGUGAAAAGAUGGAGAUUGGAAAACAUCCUUGUCCUGGGAAUAUUGUGCAGCAAAAGGAGGGGAAAAAAACAAGUCCAGAGAACACAGGAGUCACCACUUCUGCAGAGAGAGUGAACUAAUCUUAUUUUUAAGCUUUUGAAUAGAAUAAACUGUUCAGACCAAAGCGUAACGGGGAGAGAGCGUGAAAUAACAUUUGAGGAUGAAAGUGGAACCGGAGGGGAGGAAAAAAAAAAGUACAAAGCCAGGUGGCUGCUUGCUGCGAACACUUUUAUUUAUUAAUAAACACAACAGACUCCAAACAUUUGGCUGCUUGACAGAAUCCUCAGAAGUCUUGGAAAGGGAUCAAAGUUCUGCUGCUCUGCCGGGUGCACAACUCAGGGAAUAACGGUGCCUUUAUGGACGAGUGUGGAAAACUCCCUCCUGUGCCAGGAGGAGGUGGAUUUGUCCCCGAGGGUGGCGUUGGGGACACUUUGGUGCUGCUGUCUGAGGUGCUGAAGCUGCAGAUCCCCCAGAAGGAACUGGAAAAGCAACUGGAGAAACCAAACUGGUUGUUACUGGUGCUGUGUUUGAACUGGACGCUGAGAUUCUCUUUAUACCAACGCAGAGCAGAGGCAUUUGAAUUUCGGGGUAAUUCUGCUCCACUGCAGCUGGGAGCUCUGGGGGUGACUUUUAAGGGUAAAAUGGAUCCACACCCAGGCUCUAGAGCUCUCAGACUGGAUUUUUUUUGUGUGUUUUGUGUGAGUUUUCUCCCUCAAAUCCGGGCUGCUGCGGAGGGAAGGCGCCGUGACUCACUGGGCUCGACUGUGCAGCCAGUAUGGAAUUGAAAAAGGCAAAAGCUGGCACAAUUCCCUGCAAACGGUGCUGAGUUUCCCAUUUCCCUGCAGAUCAGAAGCUGGAAUUCACGGGCCAGAACCACAAGAAGAGAAGAAACGCGCGUGAAUUAAUAUUUCAAACAACGUUUUCUGCUUCCAGGAGGUGAAAAUGUGCAGGUUUAAUUGUGGGUAUAGAAAUAUUCCCAGAGCAAGUCACGAGGAUGUAACUCCAUGAAGGAAAAGGAGGAGAAGAUUUGGGCCAAAAUCCACGGAUUUGGAAUGAAGAAAGUUCUUAGAAAUUAAGGAUGAGCCUCGGGAAGGAUCCUCCCACCCCAAAGUGCCGCUGGGUCCCGUCACGGCCUCAGAUCGUGAUGGAAACACCUCAGGACCUUCCC